UCACAUGCUGUUGAUGAGAACUAGUCACAUGGCCAUAUGUAGCUGCAAGGCAGGCUGGAAAACUUAGCCACUGGCUAGGCAAGUGCUUCCCCACUACAGCUGCAUGGCAAUGGCUGGGGAUAAGGACUUUGGUUGACAGCUAACCAUCUCUAUCACAGUUUCCCAUAGAGUCUUUAGGAUAUUAUUGUUUUCCAUUUCUUUGUAUAAUGAAUUUUAAUAUCUAUAGUAAUUCAAAGGUAAAUUUUUAUGUCUAGUUUAUGAAGAUUUUUCAAAAAUAAAAUUUGAAACAGCUUGCUACUUUGAGUUACAAAAAUAAUGCAGAGUGUAGUAUCCCUUUCUCCCUGAGUUUACUACCCCUCAUUUUCCUUAAACUUUCCUGAGUCUUCGUUGCAAAACUUUCUGCUUCUUUUCUGCCAUUCUAUUUUUCUGCCUUUUAGAUUCCCAGUUUCCCUGAUCCCCUAUUCCCGCCAAUUGCCCCCAGUAAGAGACUCAGAAUAUAAAUAGAGAUAAAUUCUUAUCUUUUUCUAAAAUGAAUGCACAAUUGAAUUCGCAGAUGAGGUAGUUUUAUUUCAAGGAAGGGGAACUCCCUGUUAGGGAGGGAGUGUUGUGAUUAAAGGUCAAAUCCUAAGAACUCUUAGACAGUUGGUGUUUCGUAACCAUCUAAAUCAACUCCUGUUCACUGAGCAUCUACUGCAUGCAAGGCACCGAGGUAGGGACCCUGUGGAGGUGAGAUGAUGAAAACGAAAUGGUCUCUGCUCCAGGGUCUCAUAGGAAUUGG
rnacentral:lncRNA from 10 species